rnacentral:rRNA from 1 species
GACGAACGCUGGCGGCGUGCUUAACACAUGCAAGUCGAACGGAAAGGCCUGCUUUCCCUUGUGGAUUGCGGGUACUCGAGUGGCGAACGGGUGAGUAACACGUGAGUGAUCUGCCCCCAACUUGGGUAUAAGCCUGGGAAACUGGGUCUAAUUCCCGAUAGGACUGCAGGGUGGUGCCUGUGGUGGAAAACGAUUUUCUAGUGGUUGGGGAUGAGCUCGCGGCCUAUCAGCUUGUUGGUGGGGUAAUGGCCUACCAAGGCGGCGACGGGUAGCCGGCCUGAGAGGGUGGACGGCCACAUUGGGACUGAGAUACGGCCCAGACUACUACGGGAGGCAGCAGUGGGGAAUAUUGCACAAUGGGCGGAAGCCUGAUGCAGCGACGCCGCGUGGGGGAUGACGGGCUUCGGGUGGUAAACUCCUUUCGACCGCGAGGAAGCCACCUGGUUGGAAGGGUGGUGACGGUAGUGGUAGAAGAAGCACCGGCUAACUACGUG